rnacentral:antisense_RNA from 1 species
CUUCAGACCAAACACAUCAGGCAAAACUAACACGACUCAACAACAAAAGAAGGGUAAGAAGAAUUCUAGCUGAGGCAUAUCCAAAGCUUUGGCCCAGUGGAUUCAGGCAUGGCCCAAACCUUUUGGAGCGGAGUGGCGGCUGCCGCGUCAUGAGAGGCAGUGGAAAAUAUGACAACAGAAGAGAAGGCACUGUGACCAUGGAGGCAGCCACAAGCCAUGGGAUGCUGGCAGCUACCAGAAGCUGGGAGAAGCAAGGAAUAGAUUUUCCCCUGUAACCUUUGGAAGAAAUGUGGUCCUGUUGACAUUCUGAUUUUGGCCCAGUGAAACUGAUUUCAAACCUUCCUCCAGAACUGUGAAAGAAUAAAUAUCUGUGUUUUAAGCUGCCA